rnacentral:rRNA from 1 species
UACGUAGGGUGCGAGCGUUAAUCGGAAUUACUGGGCGUAAAGCGUGCGCAGGCGGUUUUGUAAGCCAGAUGUGAAAGCCCCGGGCUUAACCUGGGAAUGGCAUUUGGGACUGCAAGGCUUGAGUGCGGCAGAGGAGACUGGAAUUCCUGGUGUAGCAGUGAAAUGCGUAGAUAUCAGGAGGAAUACCGAUGGCGAAGGCAAUCCCCUGGACCUGUACUGACGCUCAUGCACGAAAGCGUGGGGAGCAAACAGG